rnacentral:rRNA from 1 species
UACGUACGAGGCGAGCGUUAUCCGGAAUCAUUGGGCGUAAAGAGCGUGUAGGCGGCCACUUAAGUCCUGCGUGAAAUCUUGCGGCUCAACCGCAAGCGGUCGUGGGAAACUGGGUGGCUAGAGUGCGGGAGAGGAGAGUGGAAUUCCUGGUGUAGCGGUGGAAUGCGCAGAUAUCAGGAGGAACACCCGUGGCGAAGGCGGCUCUCUGGAACGCAACUGACGCUGAGACGCGAAAGCGUGGGGAGCAAACAGG